rnacentral:rRNA from 2 species
UACGUAGGGGGCAAGCGUUGUCCGGAUUUACUGGGCGUAAAGAGCGUGUAGGCGGCCAUGCAGGUCCGUUGUGAAAACUGGAGGCUCAACCUCCAGACGUCGACGGAAACCGCGUGGCUAGAGUCCGGAAGAGGAGAGUGGAAUUCCUGGUGUAGCGGUGAAAUGCGCAGAUAUCAGGAAGAACACCAAUGGCGAAGGCAGCUCUCUGGGACGGUACUGACGCUGAGACGCGAAAGCGUGGGGAGCGAACAGG